CAGAGGAUCGUUCGCGCCGAUCCCGAAUAGUGGGUUUGGGACUCUCUGGGGUCCUUUCUCGAGGUAAGCAGAUUCACUUUCCUCCUUCCCCUCGCUCCUUCAUUCAAUUAACUUCUCAGCUUUCAUUCUGACCUUCUGACCGCCCUUGCAGAUCAGGCACCAGCUCCUCACCAACAUCGAGGCGAUGAACAAGGUGAGGAGGGACGCUAUCCAGACGGAGGAAGGUCGUCGGGCUAAGGCCGCCUGCC
rnacentral:lncRNA from 1 species